UAACAGUGUUUCAGUGACUCUACAUUCACAUUACAGCAGCACUGAAGAGCUUCUCCUUGUUACCUUCAUGAGUUCUGGGUGUGUUCAGGGUGUAACAUGCAUUAAACCAAUCAGAGUCUCGCCUCCCAUUCCCUGUCAGAGUGAGCUGCGGUCACAUGAUGGUGUGUUCACUAUUUACAGGACAGAGUUUAGAUGCAGAUGAACAGAAAGCGUCUCUAGUGAGUGAUCAGAUCUGCUUCAAGACCAUCUGCAGAACCCGCCAGGUUGACCUGAGUCUAAGUCCAGCAGAGAUUGAGGUGUGUGUGGAAGAUGCAGGAGUGAAAUGACCAUCUCCUCCUCCUCCUCCGUCUCUGAGCUCCUCCAGAGUGGAAUAUACGGCAGAACCGAGGCUCCAACAGUCAGACGUUAAAUUCCGGAUUACGAACCAGAAGAAAACCUAAGUGUAAGUAUAUUUUGUGCAAAAAAAAUAUCCCGGAUGAGCGCCCAGUUUAUAGACAUUUGCAUUAUUUAUUCAGUGAAUCUCUCCUUUUUGUGGAGCAUAUGUUAAAAGUGGUGAUUUCUGACAAAAAUAAAGGUAUAUUACCUCCUGAAAAACUCUGCAUAAACCUGUCUUUGGCCUUGCAAACCAUUCAAAAAGCAAUUUGAGCCUGUGUUUAAGCCAUAUAAUCAUCACAUGUCUUCAAGAUGUUUGUACAACUUCUCUGAAUUAUCUGUUUAUUGGUUUUUAAAGAUCCCAAGCAUUAUCAUGACAAGCAUCUAAUCAUAUCCCGGACGAGCCCCCAUUUUAUAGUAAUUUGUGAAGGUAUUUUAAAAUGACCUCCAGAAAGACUCUGUAAAAACCAGUAUUUGGCCUUGAAAACAAUCAAACCAUACAGUUUUAGCCAGUGUUUUAGCCGUGUAGUGUUAUCAUGUCUUCAAGAUGUUCAUCAACUUCUCUCAAUGCUCUGUUUGUUGGUUUUUAAGGAUUGUAAGUUAUGAUCAUAAACAGAACCCAGCAUUAUCAUGACAGGCAUCUAAUCAUAUCCCGGACGAGCCCCCAUUUUAUAGUCAUUUGAUCUAUUUAUUUGCUGUAUCAUUUCUUUCUUUUUUUUUUUCAAAUUAGUCUUUAUAUGAGAUAUAACAAAAUCUUGAUUUCUGAGGUUAUAUUAAAAUGACUUCCUGAAAACUCCAGUAAUUGACCUUUCAAAAACAAGGAAACCUUAGAUUUUUAGUCAGUGAUUUAACCGUAUAAUGUUAACAUGUCUUUAUAGUGUUUGUACAGCAUUUCUGGAUGCUCUGUUUAUUGUAUUUUAAAGGAUUAUAAGUCAUCAUCAUAAACCCCUGCAUUAUCAUGACCUGCAUCUAAUCAUAUCCCGGACGAGCCCCCAUUUUAUAGUCAUUUGCUGCAUUUAUUUUUUGAAUCAUUCCUUUUUUUCUAGAUUAGUCUUAAGAGAGGUGAUAAACUGUUGAUUUCUGACAUAUAUGGGAGUAUAUUAAAAUGACCUCCUGAAAGACUCAAUAUAAACCAACAUUUGGCCUUUCACAAACCACUCGAGAACAAUCAAAGCAUACAUUUUAGCCAGUGU